rnacentral:rRNA from 1 species
GACAGAGGGUGCAAACGUUGUUCGGAAUUACUGGGCGUAAAGCGCGUGUAGGCGGCAGCGUGUGUCGGGCGUGAAAUCCCACGGCUCAACCGUGGAAGUGCACCCGAAACUGCGCAGCUAGAGUCCUGGAGAGGAAGGUGGAAUACUUGGUGUAGAGGUGAAAUUCGUAGAUAUCAAGUGGAACACCGGUGGCGAAGGCGGCUCACUGGCCCGAUACUGACGCUGAGGCACGAAAGCGUGGGGAGCAAACAGG